UGAAUGCAAGGACAUUCAAUUGCAGGUGUCGUCCAUCUGCAGUAAGAGGUGCUUUGGAUAGUGUCCGACAUCUACUAUCGGAGGAGACGAUGAAUUCUUUAAAAGAAAUGAAUGUCUUCCACUUCUUUGAUAUGUCUUCAUAUCCACAGGACAAUGUUUUGACAUUGCACAUUUUGAGAUGUGGGAUAACGAGAAGAGGGUGUUCAGAAUGGGUGGGAAAGAAGUAAAAUUGCACCAUGACCACUUGACGCUUAUAUUAGGUAUGCCUAAUAGAGGGGAGACAAUUACGUGGAAGAAAACCCUCUCGUCUGGUGUGGAUGCCCGAGAAAUAAAGGAGCAAUUGACGAAGUUUUCUGAAGGAGGUUCUUCCAUUCCCUUUGAGCAGUUAUACUUGAAGUUUUACUAACGAAUUUAUUUUUCCUCUCAAGCAAUUUUAGUGUGCCCGCGGGACUUCUUGUCUUUGUUGAAAAUGUACAGAGGUUUUCUUCUUUUAAUUGGCCCGCUGCCAGCUGUGAAUUUAUCGUCGAUCAAGUGAGCAUCGUUGCCAAUAAAUUAAGAAGAAAUCAGUCACUUGAAUAUAUCUAGGGCUUUGUUUUUAUUUUAACUCUAUGGUUUUAUGAGCACACCUCUAUGUUUGCUCCACAUGUUCCAAAGGCUAGGCCUCAAAUGUUAAGAUGACCAACAAAUCAUGGUAGAAGAGCAGCUGAGAUUCACGAGGCCUUAAAAAAACUUGGCAAUGCAAAGGUUAAUGAUUUCUUCAUUGAUUUAAAAGAGGAUGAGCAGCACUUACUCUCCAACCCGGAAGAAGGACAACCAAUUCCUGCCAGAGUUGUCACACAUCGAGAAACAGUUGUCGGGCUAUCUUCACCAUUAUCUCACAGCGUCGGACCACUUGUUUCCAGCGAGAUCACCUCGCAAGUGACAUAUCCAAAAAGCAAUAAAUAAUUUGGAAUAAUAAUCGACAUAUUAAAAGGUCAGGAAAGGUCUAAUAUUGCAAUACAUGAAAGUAUGAGAAAAAUGACUCAACAGAUGGCGUGCGUGGAUGAGUCAUUACAGUACUUAAUUGCUAUUUUCGAAAUUUUGCA